rnacentral:rRNA from 1 species
AGAAACUAACAAGGAUUCCCUCAGUAGCGGCGAGCGAAGCGGGAAGAGCUCAAAUUUGGAAUCAGUUCAUUUCAUGAAACUGAAUUGUAGUUUAGAGAAGUGUUAUUGAGUGACGGGCACGGGCACAAAUCACUUUUACCGUGAGGGGUGUCGUAGAGGGUGAAAACCCCGUACAUGGCCUGGUUUACGUCUCGAUACAAAGGCACUUUCGACGAGUCGGGUUGUUUGGGAAUGCAGCCUUAAAUGGGUGGUAAAUGUACAUCCAAAGCUAAAUAAUGGCGAGAGACCGAUAGCGAACAAGUACCGUGAGGGAAAGAUGAAAAGCACUUUGAAAAGAAGGUGAAAAGUACUUGAAAAUUGUUAAAAGGGAAGCGAUGAGAGUCAGAGGUGUGUCUAUCGAAAUCAACUGGGUCGAUUCUGUUUGACGCUGGAAACCCCGAGUCUAUAGGUUAUUGCAUUCAGCAUGGCCGAUUCACGGUGUGAACACUAGCGUACCAGUGCACUUUUGAUAUGACACAGGACAACAUGGGUGACGAUCUGGGGAAAAUGCAGGCAGUGAGGUGUCGGCGCUUAAACUACGGUUUGACCGGCUGAUUUACAGACUGUUCUGAGAUACCCGGAUCCGGUUACUGAGGCCCUCUUUGAGGGAUUGGAGCAGGCCACGAUGGCUGGGCAGACCCGUUGGCGGAGUAAUGGUCGGAGCGUUGAUCCAUGUGAGCAACACCACCGUGAAACCGUGCUUGGGAUGACCGAAAUUGUGCUUCCGUGAUGUUGUCGCGAAUGGCUUUGAUCGGCCCGUCUUGAAACACGGACCUAGGAGUCUAACAUGAGUGCGAGUGUUAAGGUGGUGAAACCUUUGGACGCGUAAUGAAAGUGAAGGUGUUGCGAUGGCGCACCGAGGUGGGACACGGAGGCUGCUUGCAGCCGAUGUGGCACCAUCGACCGACCUGGAUGAUAUUCUGAAGGGUUUGAGUAAGAGCAUUUAUGUUGGGACCCGAAAGAUGGUGAACUAUGCCUGGGCAGGGUGAAGCCAGGGGAAACUCUGGUGGAGGCUCGUAGCGAUACUGACGUGCAAAUCGUUCGUCUGAUCUGGGUAUAGGGGCGAAAGACUAAUCGAACCAUCUAGUAGCUGGUUCCCUCCGAAGUUUCCCUCAGGAUAGCAGGAGCUCGUUAACAGUUUUAUCAGGUAAAGCGAAUGAUUAGAGGAUUCGGGGAAGAAACUUCCUCGACCUAUUCUCAAACUUUAAAUUGGUAAGAAGCCCUUGUUGCUUUACUUUGUAAAUAUGAACUUGGGCGUGGAAUGGAGAGUUCUUAGUGGGCCAUUUUUGGUAAGCAGAACUGGCGAUGCGGGAUGAACCGAACGUUACGUUAAAGUGCCACAGUGCACGCUCAUGUAGAAACCAAAAAAGGUGUUGGUUCAUUAUGACAGUAGGACGGUGGUCAUGGAAGUCGAAAUCCGCUAAGGAGUGUGUAACAACUCACCUACCGAAUGAACUAGCCCUGAAAAUGGAUGGCGCUCAAGCGUGCCACUUAUACGUAACCAUUGUCGCAAAUGCGAAGCGACAAUGAGUAGGAGGGCGUGGAAUUUGUUAGGAAUGGUUGGGCGUGAGCCUGCCUGAAACGGAUUCUAGUGCAGAUCUUGGUGGUAGUAGCAAAUAUUCAAAUGAGAACUUUGAAGGCCGAAGUGGAGAAAGGUUCCUUGUGAACAGCAAUUGGACAAGGGUUAGUCGGUCCUAAGAGAUAGGUUAAAACUGUAACAAGUCGAGCGUGAACCCUCACGGGUGAGUGCUCGGGCCCAUCGAAAGGGAAUCGGGUUAAUAUUCCCGAACCAGAAUGUCGAUAAUUAUGACGGUAACGUAAAUGAACCCCGAUACGCCGGAGGGAGCCCUGGAAAGAGUUUUCUUUUCUUUUUUACCGCGUAUUGCCCUGGAAACAAGUUUGUUGGAGAUGGGGCUAAACCGUGGGCAAAGCACUCUACUUUUUGGAGUGUCCCGGAGCGCUUCGACGGCCCGUGAAACUCGGGGGGAACAAGUGAUUUUGACAUCUGGCCGUACUCAUAACCGCAUCAGGUCUCCAAGGUGAGUAGCCUCUGGUCGAUAGAAUAAUGUAGAUAAGGGAAGUCGGCAAAAUAGAUCCGUAACUUCGGGAAAAGGAUUGGCUCUUUGGAUUGGGUGGGAUGGGGGCUCGGGGAGAGGGAGGAUGGUAGACGGGGGUGCUGGCGUCCGCAAGGACAAAGGCGUGCCUUGACACUGGAGCCCCAAACGCCGGGUCUAGUCGUGGUGGCCUCACGGCCGGGCGGCGUCCGCCCCACAACUAACAAUUAACAAAGAACUGGUACGGACAAGGGGAAUCCGACUGUUUAAUUAAAACAAAGCAAAGCGAUGGCCAGAAAAUGGUGUUGACGCUUUGUGAUUUCUGCCCAGUGCUCUGAAUGUCAAUGUGAUGAAAUUCAAUCAAGCGCGGGUCAACGGCGGGAGUAACUAUGACUCUCUUAAGGUAGCCAAAUGCCUCGUCAUCUAACUAGUGACGCGCAUGAAUGGAUUAACGAGAUUCCCACUGUCCCUAUCUACUAUCUAGCGAAACCACAGCCAAGGGAACGGGCUUGGCAAAGUCAGCGGGGAAAGAAGACCCUGUUGAGCUUGACUCUAGUCCGACUUUGUGAAAUGACUUGGAAGGCGUAGAGUAAGUGGGAGGGAAACCGUCGUUGAAACACCACUACUUCCAACGUUGUUUUACUUAAUUAAUGAUGUAGGAGGGGUGUAAAAGCCUACUUCUGGAGUUAACCCUUGCCAAUAGGCGGGGCAACCUAGGUUAGUAACAUAGUCAGGUGGGGAGUUUGGCUGGGGCGGCACAUCUGUUAAACGAUAACACAGGUGUCCUAAGAUGAGCUCAAUGAGAACAGAAAUCUCAUGUAGAACAAAAGGGUAAAAGCUCAUUUGAUUUUGAUUUUCAGUAUGAAUACAAACUGUGAAAGCAUGGCCUAUCGAUCCUUUAGACUGUUGGUCAUUUCAACCUAGAGGUGUCAGAAAAGUUACCACAGGGAUAACUGGCUUGUGGCAGCCAAGCGUUCAUAGCGACGUUGCUUUUUGAUUCUUCGAUKUCGGCUCUUCCUAUCAUUGCGAAGCAGAAUUCACCAAGUGUUGGAUUGUUCACCCA